rnacentral:rRNA from 1 species
GAUGAACGCUGGCGGCGUGCCUAAUACAUGCAAGUCGAGCGAACAGACGAGGAGCUUGCUUCUCUGACGUUAGCGGCGGACGGGUGAGUAACACGUGGAUAACCUACCUAUAAGACUGGGAUAACUUCGGGAAACCGGAGCUAAUACCGGAUAAUAUAUUGAACCGCAUGGUUCAAUAGUGAAAGACGGUUUUGCUGUCACUUAUAGAUGGAUCCGCGCCGCAUUAGCUAGUUGGUAAGGUAACGGCUUACCAAGGCGACGAUGCGUAGCCGACCUGAGAGGGUGAUCGGCCACACUGGAACUGAGACACGGUCCAGACUCCUACGGGAGGCAGCAGUAGGGAAUCUUCCGCAAAGGGCGAAAGCCUGACGGAGCAACGCCGCGUGAGUGAUGAAGGUCUUCGGAUCGUAAAACUCUGUUAUUAGGGAAGAACAAAUGUGUAAGUAACUAUGCACGUCUUGACGGUACCUAAUCAGAAAGCCACGGCUAACUACGUG